AGGACGAACGCUGGCGGCGUGCCUAACACAUGCAAGUCGAACGCGCUCCAUUCGGUAGCAAUACUGAUGAAGAGCGAGUGGCGAACGGGUGAGUAGCACGUGAGCAACCUGCCCCGAAGACCGGGACAACACCGGGAAACCGGUGCUAAUACCGGAUAUCCCUAUCGGACCGCAUGAUCUGAUAAGGAAAUGGAUUCCGCUUCGGGAGGGGCUCGCGGCCUAUCAGCUAGUUGGUGAGGUAACGGCCCACCAAGGCAUCGACGGGUAGCUGGUCUGAGAGGACGAUCAGCCACACUGGGACUGAGACACGGCCCAGACUCCUACGGGAGGCAGCAGUGGGGAAUCUUGCGCAAUGGGCGAAAGCCUGACGCAGCAACGCCGCGUGGAGGACGAAGGCUUUCGUGAGUUGUAAACUCCUUUCAGCAGGGACGAUAGGUGACGGUACCUGCAGAAGAAGCACCGGCCAACUACGCGCCAGCAGCCGCGGUAAC
rnacentral:rRNA from 1 species